rnacentral:lncRNA from 1 species
CAGAGUACAACAUGACUUUCAUUUUUGGUGUUUUGGCAACCAAAUAGAGUUGAUUCAUGUUGAAGCUUUUUCAAACAAAAUCUACUCAUACUUACUACUGCAUAAAUUAAUUCUCUAUUCAUGUUGUUGUGGUUUUGGGCUCAAGUAUAGCAUUUUAUUAAUCAUUUCUUUGAAGCUCCCAGGCUGACUUACGUAGAGUUUACUAUUCCUUCUUCUGUUCCUCCAGUACCUGUGUACUCAGCUACUGUCAUGCCACUUGUCACACCUAAAGAUAUUUAUUUGUUUACACAUUUGUUUUCCCGAUAGACAAUGAGCAUCUUAAUAUCAGGAAGAGCACCAUUAUCAUCUUUUUAUUUCCAGCGCCUAGUGCUUAACAAAUUCUCGGUUAAUGCUUGGUGGGUUGAAUUGGGUUUGUCAUGCAACCUGUGAAGGUCCUCUUGAUUCCUGAUUCUGUCAUCCAGUAUAGUUGUCAUAUCUCCCACACAUGAGUCACCAAAAUUUUCAUCCUAAUCUUUGAUAUCAAAAUAGAUCCUGCCUGCAGGAGAGCUUAAUCAUUAGAACACUAUUACUAAAAUUAACUUCACCAGUUUAAAAGAUUAUUUUAUUCUAUGUCAUCAGUGGUAACCAGGGGUUGAACCCAUGCCACAGCAGCAAUCAGAGCCGCUGCAGUGACAAUGCCAGAUUCUUAACCUGUUGUGCCACAAGGGAACUCCAACCCUUGGUAUUUUCUAAAUGGUGAGAGUGAUAAAGGCGUCUUUUGCUAUGUUAAUAAGGUGACUUUUAGAAAGCCCCUGGGUAGCCUAAGGAUGGGGACUGUUGCCAGGGGAGCCAACUGUAUGCUCCAUAAGAAGGUUGGAAUUUUCAGUCCUCCACCUGACCUCCAGGGAGGGAAGAGGGCCUGAAUCACAAAACCUGAAAGAAUUGGGUUCAGAGAGCUUCCAGGUUAGUGAACAAGUAGAGGUGCUAGGAGAAUGAUACAUCCAGAGAGGAUGCAAACUGCCCUUCCCAUAUAACUUUCCCUACGCCAUAUCUUCUCAUUGUCUAUUCCUGACUUGUAUCCUUUUAUAAUAAACCCAUAAGCAAAUAAAUUUAAAAAAAAGAAAAGAAAAGAAAUUAUGCACAAGACUAUCUAAUUGCAGCAUUAUUUGUGAUAGAAAAAACAGGAAGCGAAGUGUCCUGUUGGAGGACUGAAUAAACAUGAGUAUGUCUACACACUGGAAUGCUUUGUAGCUAAAAAAAAAA